rnacentral:rRNA from 1 species
UACAGAGGGUGCAAGCGUUGUCCGGAUUUAUUGGGUUUAAAGGGUGCGUAGGCGGCUAUCUAAGUCAGUGGUGAAAUCCUGCAGCUUAACUGUAGAACCGCCAUUGAUACUGGAUGGCUUGAGUACAGACGAGGUAGGCGGAAUUUAUGGUGUAGCGGUGAAAUGCAUAGAUACCAUAAAGAACACCGAUUGCGAAGGCAGCUUACUAGGCUGUAACUGACGCUGAGGCACGAAAGUGUGGGGAUCAAACAGG